rnacentral:rRNA from 1 species
GGUGAACGCUGGCGGCGUGCCUAAUACAUGCAAGUCGAGCGAACGGACGAGAAGCUUGCUUCUCUGAUGUUAGCGGCGGACGGGUGAGUAACACGUGGAUAACCUACCUAUAAGACUGGGAUAACUUCGGGAAACCGGAGCUAAUACCGGAUGAUAUUUUGAACCGCAUGGUUCAAAAGUGAAAGACGGUCUUGCUGUCACUUAUAGAUGGAUCCGCGCUGCAUUAGCUAGUUGGUAAGGUAACGGCUUACCAAGGCAACGAUGCAUAGCCGACCUGAGAGGGUGAGCGGCCACACUGGAACUGAGACACGGUCCAGACUCCUACGGGAGGCAGCAGUAGGGAAUCUUCCGCAAUGGGCGAAAGCCUGACGGAGCAACGCCGCGUGAGUGAUGAAGGUCUUCGGAUCGUAAAACUCUGUUAUUAGGGAAGAACAUAUGUGUAAGUAACUGUGCACAUCUUGACGGUACCUAAUCAGAAAGCCACGGCUAACUACGUG